CUGAAACAUAAGAGAGUCCCUCAAAAUCAUGGCCUCCGCUACGGACUCUAAGGUGAAUUCCAAGCUGCUUAGAGCAAAUAACAACAGCUUGGAUGUGAGAUUCUUGUAAAGGAGUGAAGAUAAACUCAGGUUUCGGUACUGAAGGGAAGGUGAACCUGAGGUUUUGAGCAGAAGAUUGUAAGACACUAGUGAAAGAAGAGUUUUGUGGAGCAUACAAGACAGUGGAAAAAGGAAAGGAGUAGGACCACAAGUAUUGAAAGUAUGGAAGAUCUUGAAGGCACCAUUUUUCCUGCUUUCUUGCCUCUCUGGCUUGCCUUUAAGAAUUGAUGUCUCAAGGAGUUCUUUUAUAGAGGAGCUAUGAACAAUCAACAGGAAAUUAAAUUAUUUUCUAGCUGGUUUUGUGCAGUGAGAUAUUUACUUGUGAUAUUACAAUGGGAUUAUAUAAAUUUGAAUGAUUCAUAUUCCAUGCAA